rnacentral:ncRNA from 1 species
UUUUAUAAGAAUAUGAUGUUGGUUCAGAUUAAGCGCUAAAUAAGGACAUGACACAUGCGAAUCAUACGUUUAUUAUUGAUAAGAUAAUAAAUAUGUGGUGUAAACGUGAGUAAUUUUAUUAGGAAUUAAUGAACUAUAGAAUAAGCUAAAUACUUAAUAUAUUAUUAUAUAAAAAUAAUUUAUAUAAUAAAAAGGAUAUAUAUAUAAUAUAUAUUUAUCUAUAGUCAAGCCAAUAAUGGUUUAGGUAGUAGGUUUAUUAAGAGUUAAACCUAGCCAACGAUCCAUAAUCGAUAAUGAAAGUUAGAACGAUCACGUUGACUCUGAAAUAUAGUCAAUAUCUAUAAGAUACAGCAGUGAGGAAUAUUGGACAAUGAUCGAAAGAUUGAUCCAGUUACUUAUUAGGAUGAUAUAUAAAAAUAUUUUUAUUUUAUUUAUAAAUAUUUAAUAUUUAUAAUAAUAAUAAUAUAUAUAUAUAUAAAUUGAUUAAAAAUAAAAUCCAUAAAUAAUUAAAAUAAUGAUAUUAAUUACCAUAUAUAUUUUUAUAUGGAUAUAUAUAUUAAUAAUAAAAUUAAUUUAUUAUUAUUAAUAAUAUAUUUUAAUAGUCCUGACUAAUAUUUGUGCCAGCAGUCGCGGUAACACAAAGAGGGCGAGCGUUAAUCAUAAUGGUUUAAAGGAUCCGUAGAAUGAAUUAUAUAUUAUAAUUUAGAGUUAAUAAAAUUAAUUAAAGAAUUAUAAUAGUAAAGAUGAAAUAAUAAUAAUAAUUAUAAGACUAAUAUAUGUGAAAAUAUUAAUUAAAUAUUAACUGACAUUGAGGGAUUAAAACUAGAGUAGCGAAACGGAUUCGAUACCCGUGUAGUUCUAGUAGUAAACUAUGAAUACAAUUAUUUAUAAUAUAUAUUAUAUAUAAAUAAUAAAUGAAAAUGAAAGUAUUCCACCUGAAGAGUACGUUAGCAAUAAUGAAACUCAAAACAAUAGACGGUUACAGACUUAAGCAGUGGAGCAUGUUAUUUAAUUCGAUAAUCCACGACUAACCUUACCAUAUUUUGAAUAUUAUAAUAAUUAUUAUAAUUAUUAUAUUACAGGCGUUACAUUGUUGUCUUUAGUUCGUGCUGCAAAGUUUUAGAUUAAGUUCAUAAACGAACAAAACUCCAUAUAUAUAAUUUUAAUUAUAUAUAAUUUUAUAUUAUUUAUUAAUAUAAAGAAAGGAAUUAAGACAAAUCAUAAUGAUCCUUAUAAUAUGGGUAAUAGACGUGCUAUAAUAAAAUGAUAAUAAAAUUAUAUAAAAUAUAUUUAAUUAUAUUUAAUUAAUAAUAUAAAACAUUUUAAUUUUUAAUAUAUUUUUUUAUUAUAUAUUAAUAUGAAUUAUAAUCUGAAAUUCGAUUAUAUGAAAAAAGAAUUGCUAGUAAUACGUAAAUUAGUAUGUUACGGUGAAUAUUCUAACUGUUUCGCACUAAUCACUCAUCACGCGUUGAAACAUAUUAUUAUCUUAUUAUUUAUAUAAUAUUUUUUAAUAAAUAUUAAUAAUUAUUAAUUUAUAUUUAUUUAUAUCAGAAAUAAUAUGAAUUAAUGCGAAGUUGAAAUACAGUUACCGUAGGGGAACCUGCGGUGGGCUUAUAAAUAUC